GACCACCACCAGUGCCAGGCUGAGGUGGGCAGCGUGCUAGGACAGUGGGCAGUCAUGGGCACCACCAGUGCUGAGCUGGGCAGCAUGCUAGGACAGUGGGCAGUCAUGGGCACCACCAGUGCCAGGCUGAGGUGGGCAGCAUGCUAGGACAGACAGUGGGCAGUCAUGGGCACCACCAGUGCCAGGCUGAGCUGGGCAGCAUGCUGGAACAGUGGGCAGUCAUGGGCACUGCCAGUGCUGAGCUGCUACCCGCAUGAUGUACCCUGGACUAUGUAGCCAGGAUCUCGGGGCCGUCACGGGGGUCUGUCAUUCUAACCUCCUGUUCUCCCAUUCACACCUGCAAGCUGAGGUGUGUG